GCUACGUUCGGACAGGAUAACCGCUGAAAGCAUCUAAGCGGGAAACCUUCUCCAAGACCAGGCUUCUCACCCAUUAAGUGGGAUAAGGCCCCCCGCAGACCACGGGAUCGAUAGACCAGACCUAGAAGCCUAGUAAUAGGCGCAGGGAACUGGCACUAACCGGCCGAAAACUUACAACAACA
rnacentral:rRNA from 1 species